ACGAACGCUGGCGGCGUGCCUAAUACAUGCAAGUUGAGCGCUGAAGGUUGGUACUUGUACCCACUGGAUGAGCAGCGAACGGGUGAGUAACGCGUGGGGAAUCUGCCUUUGAGCGGGGGACAACAUUUGGAAACGAAUGCUAAUACCGCAUAAAAACUUUAAACACAAGUUUUAAGUUUGAAAGAUGCAAUUGCAUCACUCAAAGAUGAUCCCGCGUUGUAUUAGCUAGUUGGUGAGGUAAAGGCUCACCAAGGCGAUGAUACAUAGCCGACCUGAGAGGGUGAUCGGCCACAUUGGGACUGAGACACGGCCCAAACUCCUACGGGAGGCAGCAGUAGGGAAUCUUCGGCAAUGGACGAAAGUCUGACCGAGCAACGCCGCGUGAGUGAAGAAGGUUUUCGGAUCGUAAAACUCUGUUGGUAGAGAAGAACGUUGGUGAGAGUGGAAAGCUCAUCAAGUGACGGUAACUACCCAGAAAGGGACGACUAACUACGUG
rnacentral:rRNA from 1 species